rnacentral:rRNA from 1 species
GAUGAACGCUGGCGGCGUGCCUAAUACAUGCAAGUCGAGCGAACAGACCAGGAGCUUGCUCCUCUGACGUUAGCGGCGGACGGGUGAGUAACACGUGUAUAACCUACCUAUAAGACUGGGAUAACUUCGGGAAACCGGAGCUAAUACCGGAUAAUAUAUUGAACCGCAUUGUUCAAUAGUGAAAGACGGUUUUGCGGUCACUUAUAGAUGGAUCAGCGCCGCAUUAGCUAGUUGGUAAGGUAGCGGCUUACCAAGGCAACGAUGCGUAGCCGACCUGAGAGGGUGAUCGGCCACCCUGGAGGUGAGACACGGUACAGACUCCUACGGGAGGCAGCAGUCGGGAAUCGUCCGCAAUGGGGGAGAGCCUGACGGAGCACCGCGGCGUGAGUGCUGAAGGUGUUCGGAUCGGAAAACUCUGUUAUUAGGGAAGAACAAAUGUGUAAGUAACUAUGAACGUCUUGACGGUACCUGAUCAGAAAGCCACGGCUAACUACGUG